rnacentral:rRNA from 1 species
GACGAACGCUGGCGGCGUGCUUAACACAUGCAAGUCGAACGGAAAGGCCCUGCUUUUGUGGGGUGCUCGAGUGGCGAACGGGUGAGUAACCCGUGAGUAACCUGCCCUUGACUUUGGGAUAACUUCAGGAAACUGGGGCUAAUACCUGAUAGGAGCUCCUGCUGCAUGGUGGGGGUUGGAAAGUUUCGGCGGUUGGGGAUGGACUCGCGGCUUAUCAGCUUGUUGGUGGGGUAGUGGCUUACCAAGGCUUUGACGGGUAGCCGGCCUGAGAGGGUGACCGGCCACAUUGGGACUGAGAUACGGCCCAGACUCCUACGGGAGGCAGCAGUGGGGAAUAUUGCACAAUGGGCGGAAGCCUGAUGCAGCAACGCCGCGUGCGGGAUGACGGCCUUCGGGUUGUAAACCGCUUUCGCCUGUGACGAAGCGUGAGUGACGGUAAUGGGUAAAGAAGCACCGGCUAACUACGUG